CAGGGGGACCCGCGCUGGAUCGUGGAGGAGCGGGAGGAUGGGACCAACGUGAACAACUGGCACUGGUGCGGUGGGCCCCGGGCGCGAGCAG
ensembl:miRNA Gm47279 predicted gene, 47279